GACGAACGCUGGCGGCGUGCUUAAAACAUGCAAGUCGAACGAGGUCCAUCCGAUGGCAACAUUGGUGAAGACCGAGUGGCGAACGGGUGCGUAACACGUGAGGAACCUGCCCCGGACUCUGGAAUAACAGUGGGAAACCACUGCUAAUACCGGAUGUCUCCACCAUCUCGCAUGGGAAGGUGAAGAAAGAUUUAUCGGUUCGGGAGGGCCUCGCGGCCUAUCAGCUUGUUGGUGGGGUAACGGCUCACCAAGGCGUCGACGGGUAGCCGGCCUGAGGGGGCGACCGGCCACACUGGGACUGAGACACGGCCCAGACUCCUACGGGAGGCAGCAGUGGGGAAUAUUGGACAAUGGGCGCAAGCCUGAUCCAGCGAUGCCGCGUGUGUGAAGAAGGCCUUCGGGUUGUAAAGCUCUUUUGGCGGGGACGAUGAUGACGGUACCCGCAGAAUAAGCCCCGGCUAACUUCGUGCCAGCAGCCGCGGUAAGACGAAGGGGGCUAGCGUUGUUCGGAAUUACUGGGCGUAAAGGGUGCGUAGGCGGCUUCUUAAGUCUGGCGUGAAAGCCCAGGGCUCAGCCCUGGAAGUGCGCCAGAAACUGAGAGGCUCGAGUGCCGGAGGGGAGAGUGGAAUUCCCGGC
rnacentral:rRNA from 1 species